GGGUAUGCAUUAUUGAUAGAAAUAAAGCUAGAAAAGCAUGUUAGUUAAAUGUUGGUACUAUGAAUGAUAGUAAAAGGCUUGAUGCAAUGGAACAAUUAGCUUCCCACAAAGCUAAAUUUACUGUUUUCUCUAAUUCCUAAUAUCAAAGAUAACUUUUUUAUGGAAAUUUUACUUUGAAGCUUAAAUUCAUGUACGAAAAAUAAUCUUAAAUUGCCAAACUCUAUUUAAGCUCCCAACUUAGGUUCUCAUCAUUGGACGUGUGCCAAAUUAAGUUUUGGGCACUAGAUCAUGGCUUGGAAUCCAAAUUAUGUUAUGGAUGUGUCUUUUAAAUGCCUUUGAUGUUGAGAUACUCUUCAUCUUUUUGUACUUAGAAGAAACUUGAGCACUUGGCAUUGUCAAAUUAAAAGCAUGAAACAAGG
rnacentral:misc_RNA from 1 species